rnacentral:misc_RNA from 1 species
GUAGGUGAACCUGCGGAAGGAUCAUUACCGAGAGGCGGGGUCGAACCGGCCCCAACUCUUCACCCGUGCUUACCAACCCCACGUUGCUUUGGCGGGCCGCCGAACGCUUUCGCGGGGGGCCCCAAAAACCGGCCCCCUCGCGCCCGCCGAAGACCUCAUCAAACUCUGUUAUUAGUGUCGUCCGAGCAAACAAACACAAUCGUUAAAACUUUCAACAACGGAUCUCUUGGUUCCGGCAUCGAUGAAGAAC